CUCACACCGGUUUGAACUCAAAUCAUGUAAAACUUUAAAGGUCGAACAGACCUUCUUUUUAUAGUCUCUACUCCAUAAAGAACCUUUAAUUCAACAUCGAGGUCGCAAACUUUCUUGUCGAUAAGAACUCUCAAAAAAAAUUACGCUGUUAUCCCUAAAGUAACUUAAUCUUUAAUCCCUUUUAGGAUCAAUAAAUCAAACAUUAUUGUAAAAAAUAAAAGACAGUUAUCCUUUCUUAUAUCCUUGUCGCCCCAACAAAACAUUUUAAAAUAGUAACCUUAAAAUAAAAUUAAUUUCUACCUUAAAAUAUAAAGUUUUAUAGGGUCUUAUCGUCCCAUUAGAUCAUUAAAGCCUUUUCACUUUAAAGUUAAAUUCAAUAUUUUAAUUUAAGACAGAUUAUUUCUUGUCCAACCAUUCAUUCUAGCCUUCAAUUAAAAAACUAAUGAUUAUGCUACCUUUGCACGGUCAUAAUACCGCGGCCUUUCAGUUUCCCAAUGGGCAGGUCAGACUUUAUAUACCUCUCAUACAGA
rnacentral:rRNA from 1 species